rnacentral:rRNA from 1 species
CGACUCUUGGGAACGGAUAUCUCGGCUCUCGCAUCGAUGAAGAACGCAGCAAAAUGCGAUACUUGGUGGGAAUUGCAGAAUCCCGUGAACCAUCGAGUUUUUGAACGCAAGUUGCGCCCGAAGCCAUUAUGCUGAGGGCACGUCUGCCUGGGCGUCACG